rnacentral:rRNA from 1 species
UGUUUCGGCUAGGGGGUCAUCCCGACUUACCAACCCGAUGCAAACUACGAAUACCGAAGAAUGUUAUCACGGGAGACACACGGCGGGUGCUAACGUCCGUCGUGAAGAGGGAAACAACCCAGACCGCCAGCUAAGGUCCCAAAGUCAUGGUUAAGUGGGAAACGAUGUGGGAAGGCACAGACAGCCAGGAUGUUGGCUUAGAAGCAGCCAUCAUUUAAAGAAAGCGUAAUAGCUCACUGGUCGAGUCGGCCUGCGCGGAAGAUGUAACGGGGCUAAACCAUGCACCGAAGCUGCGGCAGCGACACUAUGUGUUGUUGGGUAGGGGAGCGUUCUGUAAGCCUGCGAAGGUGUGCUGUGAGGCAUGCUGGAGGUAUCAGAAGUGCGAAUGCUGACAUAAGUAACGAUAA